UAUGGGUUAGUGGCGGACGGGUGGGUAACGCGUGGGUAACCUGCCUUACACAGGGGGAUAACACUUAGAAAUAGGUGCUAAAACCGCAUAAGCGCACAGCUUCGCAUGAAGCGGUGUGAAAAACUCCGGUGGUGUAAGAUGGACCCGCGUCUGAUUAGCUUGUUGGCGGGGUAACGGCCCACCAAGGCGACGAUCAGUAGCCGGCCUGAGAGGGCGGACGGCCACAUUGGGACUGAGACACGGCCCAGACUCCUACGGGAGGCAGCAG
rnacentral:rRNA from 1 species